UACGUAGGGUGCGUUAAUCGGAAUUACUGGGCGUAAAGCGUGCGCAGGCGGUUUUGUAAGCCAGAUGUGAAAGCCCCGGGCUUAACCUGGGAAUGGCAUUUGGGACUGCACGGCUGGAGUGCGGCAGAGGGGGAUGGAAUUCCGCGUGUAGCAGUGAAAUGCGUAGAUAUGCGGAGGAACACCGAUGGCGAAGGCAAUCCCCUGGGCCUGCACUGACGCUCAUGCACGAAAGCGUGGGGAGCAAACAGG
rnacentral:rRNA from 1 species